AUUAUAUAUAUAUUCCAAAAGUAAAGGGUAGAGAAAUCGCCGCCCGUGGAGUGGAGACCCGACAGAUUGAUGUGUGAAAAGGUGCUGUGUAGGUGGGAACCCUCUGCCUGUUCCAGCUUUGACCACAGAAGAACCCCGAAUUCAGCAAUAAAAGAACCAUUAACAUGGCCAAAGAUGUUGGGAUAAUAGAAACUAAUGGGGAGAUCAAAGUUUUUACGGAUCAAAAUAUUAGCCCAGCAAAAAUUGCAUUAGUGACAGUAGCAUCUUCUCAUCUCAGCACCCCAGGGAAACAAAUUUUGCCAAAAACACUGGGGCUGUCAAA